AGGGUGUAAACGCUGCAGACUUGGUGUUGGAAGCCCUUUGGGGGCAUUCAGUGCCGGAGAGAAGUUGUUAAGUCUGCUACUUGGGGAGUACGUCCGCAAGGAUGAAACUUAAAGGAAUUGGCGGGGGAGCACCGCAACGGGAGGAGCGUGCGGUUUAAUUGGAUUCAACACCGUAAAACUCACCAGGGAAGACUGUUACAUGAAGGCCGAGAUGGAGACUCUGCUAGAUUUUCAGAGAGGAGGUGCAUGGCGUCAGUGACU
rnacentral:rRNA from 1 species